rnacentral:misc_RNA from 1 species
GCUUAUUUGAAUCUUGUAAAAAGGCAUAGCAGCAUAUUUCAGCUUUAUUCUAUUAAAGAUGGAAGUAAUCAAAUAUCAUAACAACAUCUCAACAUAGUAAUAAUAAUAAUGAUGGAUAAUAACAAGCCUGAAAUCAGCCAGUUUGGCCCGGUCGCCUUCCAAUACAAUCAAGCCUUAGCCUCCUAAGCAGCUGAUGUACUAGGCUUUGCUUCGUCGUCUUCAUCCUUGAACUCUUCCUCAUCAGGAUCAUCCCGAGCCAUCUUGAACUUCGAGAAAUCCACUGUGCGACCUUCAUCAUUCUCGUCGUCCUCAUCAUCGAAAGCAGCCAAAAUAUCCCUGUCAAUUUUGAUAAAAGCAGGAGGCUUCCCCUGCUGCUUAUACAACCUGGUCCACCACUUCUUCUCUGCCUUCUGUAUAACAUAGACAAUACCUGUCUCAGCAAUGUGGAACUUGCUACCCUCUACAUCGACAUUAUCAAACAAUUCAAUUUCAGCUUCGUAAUGGACGUCAUCUUUAGUGGCAAAGACGCUGAAUCCAUCAGGUUCAAGCCUGAGAUCUACAUCCUUAGGAUCAGGCAACUCAACAUUAAGGUAAAGUUUGUCCAGUCUCUGCGCCCAUCCGAUAGUUGGGGUGCUACUCAUUUUCUGAAUGGAAGAAUGGAUAGGGAGGGGAAAAUUGGACUAGACAGUCA